rnacentral:lncRNA from 10 species
AUGUUGAGGAGAAGAGAUGAAACCAGAAAUCCUUUUCUUGUUCUUGAUCUUAGAAGGAAAACAGUGGAUCAUUCACCAUUAAUUAUAAUAUUAGGGCUCAGUUGAUCGUGGAUAACUGACAUAAGGAAGGCAAAAGUGGGUGAAGGAGGCCUGCUGAAUUGGGAAAUUGUUAGACAACAUUCUACAACGGCUGAACAGUGCUUGUCAUUUCAGUGCUGUACAAGAAUAUUAAUGAUGUGGAAAGCUGUCCAUUA